AUUGAACGCUGGCGGCAUGCCUUACACAUGCAAGUCGAACGGUAACAGGUUAAGCUGACGAGUGGCGAACGGGUGAGUAAUAUAUCGGAACGUGCCCAGUCGUGGGGGAUAACGUAGCGAAAGCUACGCUAAUACCGCAUACGAUCUACGGAUGAAAGCGGGGGAUCGCAAGACCUCGCGCGAUUGGAGCGGCGAUAUCAGAUUAGGUUGUUGGUGAGGUAAAAGCUCACCAAGCCUGCGAUCUGUAGCUGGUCUGAGAGGACAACCAGCCACACUGGAACUGAGCAACGGUCCAGACUCCUACGGGAGGCAGCAGUGGGGAAUUUUGGACAAUGGACGCAAGUCUGAUCCAGCAAUGCCGCGUGCAGGACGAAGGCCUUCGGGUUGUAAACUGCUUUUGUACGGAACGAAACGGUGAGCCCUAAUAUAGUUUGCUAAUGACGGUACCGUAAGAAUAAGCACCGGCUAACUACGUGCCAGCCGCCGCAGUAA
rnacentral:rRNA from 1 species